GGAUGAACGCUAGCGACAGGCCUAACACAUGCAAGUCGAGGGGCAUCGGGACGUAGCAAUACGUUGCCGGCGACCGGCGGAUGGGUGAGUAACGCGUAUGCAACCUACCCGUAGCAGGGGGAUAGCCCGUUGAAAGACGGAUUAAUACCCCGUAACACAGGGGCUCCGCAUGGAGAUUAUUGUUAAAGGGUCAUUUCUUUUAGAGGUGGUCCGGCUACGGAUGGGCAUGCGUUCCAUUAGGUAGUUGGUGUAGGUAACGGCUCACCAAGCCGACGAUGGAUAGGGGAACUGAGAGGUUGGUCCCCCACACUGGUACUGAGACACGGACCAGACUCCUACGGGAGGCAGCAGUGAGGAAUCUUGGUCAAUGGACGCAAGUCUGAACCAGCCAUGUCGCGUGAAGGAGGACGGCCCUAAGGGUUGUAAACUUCUUUUGCAGCGGAAUAAAGUUUGCCACGAGUUGGCGAUUUGCAAGUACGCUGCGAAUAAGGAUCGGCUAACUCCGUGCCAGCAGCCGCGGUAAUACGGAGGAUCCGGGCGUUAUCCGGAUUUAUUGGGUUUAAAGGGUGCGCAGGCGGGGAUUUAGGUCGGCGGUGAAAUUUCGGGGCUCAACCUCGAUAGUGCCGUUGAAACCGUUUCUCUUGAGUGCGGAUGAGGUAGGCGGAAUUUGUGGUGUAGCGGUGAAAUGCGUAGAUAUCACAAGGAACACCGAUUGCGGAGGCAGCUUACUAAACCGUUACUGACGCUCAUGCACGAAGGCGUGGGGAUCAAACAGGAUUAGAUACCCUGGUAGUCCACGCAGUAAACGAUGAUUACUUGCUGUUUGCGAUACACAGUAAGCGGCGUAGCGAAAGCGUUAAGUAAUCCACCUGGGGAGUACGUUCGCAAGAAUG
rnacentral:rRNA from 1 species